rfam:Clostridium acetobutylicum ATCC 824, complete genome.
UAUACCUUUAAUGAUUGGUCCAGAGAGGCUAAGAAGGAUUAAAAGUUUUGUUUUAUGGAGAGUAUUAUAGUCUUUUGCGUCUGGCAAAAGACUUUUUAUUUU